rnacentral:tRNA from 1 species
CAAGUUAAAGCUUUAAUUAAGCAUUUUAUUUACAUUAAAAAGUUAAUUGUGAGAAUCAAUUUGGCUUGA